GAUGAACGCUGGCGGCAGGCUUAACACAUGCAAGUCGAGCGGGGUGAUGGUGCUUGCACUAUCACUUAGCGGCGGACGGGUGAGUAAUGCUUAGGAAUCUGCCUAUUAGUGGGGGACAACAUCUCGAAAGGGAUGCUAAUACCGCAUACGUCCUACGGGAGAAAGCAGGGGAUCACUUGUGACCUUGCGCUAAUAGAUGAGCCUAAGUCGGAUUAGCUAGUUGGUGGGGUAAAGGCCUACCAAGGCGACGAUCUGUAGCGGGUCUGAGAGGAUGAUCCGCCACACUGGGACUGGGACACGGCCCAGACUCCUACGGGAGGCAGCAGUGGGGAAUAUUGGACAAUGGGGGGAACCCUGAUCCAGCCAUGCCGCGUGUGUGAAGAAGGCCUUAUGGUUGUAAAGCACUUUAAGCGAGGAGGAGGCUCUUUUGGUUAAUACCCAAGAUGAGUGGACGUUACUCGCAGAAUAAGCACCGGCUAACUCUGUGCCAGCCGCCGCAGUAAUAC
rnacentral:rRNA from 1 species